GCACAGGGAGCUUGCUCUCGGGUGACGAGCGGCGGACGGGUGAGUAAUGUCUGGGAAACUGCCUGAUGGAGGGGGAUAUCUACUGGAAACGGUAGCUAAUACCGCAUAACGCCGCAAGACCAAAGAGGGGGACCUUCGGGCCUCUUGCCAUCAGAUGUGCCCAGAUGGGACUAGCUAGUAGGUGGGGUAACGGCUCACCUAGGCGACGAUCCCUAGCUGGUCUGAGAGGAUGACCAGCCACACUGGAACUGAGACACGGUCCAGACUCCUACGGGAGGCAGCAGUGGGGAAUAUUGCACAAUGGGCGCAAGCCUGAUGCAGCCAUGCCGCGUGUAUGAAGAAGGCCUUCGGGUUGUAAAGUACUUUCAGCGGGGAGGAAGGCGAUAAGGUUAAUAACCUUGUCGAUUGACGUUACCCGCAGAAGAAGCACCGGCUAACUCCGUGCCAGCAGCCGCGGUAAUACGGAGGGUGCAAGCGUUAAUCGGAAUUACUGGGCGUAAAGCGCACGCAGGCGGUCUGUCAAGUCGGAUGUGAAAUCCCCGGGCUCAACCUGGGAACUGCAUUCGAAACUGGCAGGCUAGAGUCUUGUAGAGGGGGGUAGAAUUCCAGGUGUAGCGGUGAAACGCGUAGAGAUCUGGAGGAAUA
rnacentral:rRNA from 1 species